rnacentral:rRNA from 1 species
GAUCGUCUGAACAAGGCCUGCGCUUAAUUGCGCGGCCAGUUCUUGAUUCUCUGCUAUCAGUUUUCUAUUUCUCAUCCUAAACACAAUGGAGUUUUUUCUCUAUGAACUACUUCCCUGGAGAGCUCGUCUCUCCAGUGGACAUAAACACAAACAAUAUUUUGUAUUAUGAAAAACUAUUAUACUAUAAAAUUUAAUAUUCAAAACUUUCAACAACGGAUCUCUUGGUUCUCGCAUCGAUGAAGAACGCAGCGAAUUGCGAUAUGUAUUGUGAAUUGCAGAUUUUCGUGAAUCAUCAAAUCUUUGAACGCACAUUGCGCCCUCUGGUAUUCCAGGGGGCAUGCCUGUUUGAGCGUCAUUUCUCUCUCAAACCUUUGGGUUUGGUAGUGAGUGAUACUCGUCUCGGGUUAACUUGAAAGUGGCUAGCCGUUGCCAUCUGCGUGAGCAGGGCUGCGUGUCAAGUCUAUGGACUCGACUCUUGCACAUCUACGUCUUAGGUUUGCGCCAAUUCGUGGUAAGCUUGGGGUCAUAGAGACUCAUAGGUGUUAUAAAAGACUCGCUGGUGUUUGUCUCCUUGAGGCAUACGGCUUUAACCAAAACUCUCAAAGUUUGACCUCAAAUCAGGUAGGAGUACCCGCUGAACUUAAGCAUAUCAAUAG